rnacentral:rRNA from 1 species
AAGUCGUAACAAGGUUUCCGUAGGUAAGUUAUCACAGAAUCUCUCAUUCUUCGUGGGAACACUCACUAACAUCUUCAAGGUGAACCUGCGGAAGGAUCAUUACAGUGUUAAGGCUUCGGCCUCAUUCACACCCCUUGUUGAACCUCUGGUUUCUUUGGCGAUGUCAUGGACUCGUCAGACUUUAACUCUGAUAAUGCGAUACUGUCCGAGUGAGAUUGAAUUAUUAAAACUUUCAACAACGGAUCUCUUGGUUCCAGCAUCGAUGAAGAACGCAGCGAAAUGCGAUAAAUAAUGUGAAUUGCAGAAUUCCGUGAAUCAUCGAGUUUUUGAACGCACAUUGCACUCCUUGGUAUUCCGAGGAGUACGCCUGUUCGAGCGUCAUUACACUCUCAAGCUCUGCUUGGAUUUGAAUCACUGCCGUGGCAGGAUUCCAAUAUCGUCGGCAAUUGACCAUCUGUGAUGACUCACUCCGAGUUAAUUCGCCUGACACUUCUUUCAAGUUGACCUCGGAUCAGGCGGGGAUACCCGCUGAACUUA